UGGGUUGUAUUUAAUUAUAAUAUCUGAUUUGCAUUCAGAAGGUACUUUAGUAGUCUUCCUUA
rnacentral:tRNA from 1 species